AGGGAGUGGGAGGAAGAGAAGGUGAACAAUUGCCAGCCUAGUAUUGACCCAUUGGGACCUUGCACAUGAAUCACUAAUGGCUAGUCUUUUAGGCAAAAUAAGGUAGUCAUCCAAGCCAAGUCACAGGAGGAUGGAAAGUAACCGAGGUGUAUUCACACAGGAAUCCCACACUCCUACAACAGCUGUGGACCAGGCAGCAUGCGGACCCAGGGUUUCAGCCUCUUGCACAUAUGUUGCCCGAGCCCUGGCCCUGGCCACACCGUGGGGUGGACAAAUCACAGCCUGGCCUUCAGGGAGCCUGUGUCUGUACAGUUAAGAGGUCGGACCACGUGCUGAGUGACUGUGAGCCUCCUUGAUUGCCUACAGGGCCAGCCCGGCUCACACUGCGGGUGCUGAUGGGGCUGCCUACCGGGGGGUUAAGCCCUUCUGUGCAUCAGAGCCUCGCUUAGCUCUCACAGCCUCCCCAUCGGGUGGGGGCUGGGAGGAUGCAGAAGGGGAGGACGCGGAAGUUAAGAACCUGCUAGGUCUCCAGGCUGAGUUCCAGGCAGCUAGGCUCCGGAGCCUGGUGUGGCACUGACCCACCUCUUGGGACAGGUGUGCACAGAGGGCCCUGACCCAGCCUGGGUGGGAGGGGCUGGGGAGGCAGCCAGGUGGGGUCUGAGGCAGAGAAGGGGGAGCACAGGGAGGAAACAGGUUCUCAGACGGAGUGCGGAUCUCAGCCAGGGUCCAGAGCCAAAAUCCAUUCCAUCUGCCUGGUGUUGAGGGAGAAGGCAGGGAAGAGGUGAUCUCGCAGAGGAGAACGCGGACCAGACCUGCAGGCCCCUGUGACUGUGUGAAGCAGAGGUGUUUUCCCCGAAGGCAACGAGGAGGCGUGGAAGGGUUUAGGCAGCUGGUUGCCAAGUCAGACCUGCCUUUUAGAAAGAUGCCUCUGGAUGUCGCGUGGAAGGUGGGUUAGAGACCAACGGGAGCCAUCCUGGACCACCAGGACGGUGGCCGUGGGGCUGGACAGAAUUGACUCAGGUGGACCGCUCUAGAGACUUCCUGAUGACUGUAAAAGCUGCACUCGACAUGCCCACAGCAGGCUCCGGCCUCACCUCUGCCCCUCAACCUGUCAGCAACAGAGAAAAGACCACCCAUGGCUUCUCGCCAGCAGAGGAAGCAAACACAGGACGUGAUCCAGUAAAGGCGCUGGCCGGGCAGGAGGGCUCUGGCAGUAGACAUGCAGCUCACCUGAGAACUCCAGCACUGCGGGGCGCCACCUUGGCCUGAGAUCCCUAAGGCCUCCGGGGAAAAGGUGAUGAAGACUCAAGGUGCCCAGUAAAGCCCCCAGGAGACCAUGACUUAGACAUUCAAAGAAGAGGAGCAGAAGUAAGGGAUGCCUCAGCUAGAUGGACGAGAAAACUGAGGUUAGAGGAAGCUUAUUCCUGCAAAAACGCAAGCCACCCCAGGCUACUAGCGGCGAGAAAGGAGGUUGUGAAGCACCCCAGGUUCAGCCACAGCUCCAGGGAGCCCCUCUGCCUUUGAGCUGGGCUUCUCACAAUAACGUGAGCAUCAUCAGCCUCGUGAUGCAAGCGAAGGGACCCACUUCCUCUCUGCUCAUCUCGGGGUCACUGCUGCCAUCUCAAGAUGCCUCCUGCUCCAGUUCUGGGUUUGUGAUCAAUCUAAGGCUGGGGUCAAGGGGAGACAGACAGUGCAGGUGCCUAAGGUCCCAACCAGGACAAGAGAAAGAGGAAUUCAGGAGGGGGAGAGGUGAAUAUUCCUACAUUAUCUUACUAUGUACAUAUUUUUUAAUUUUUAAUUUUUUAGGCAUUUUUCUUUUUUCUUCUUUGGGGGGGUAAUUAGGUCUAUUUAUUUAUUUAUUUUUAUUGGCAGUACUGGGGAUUGAACCCAGGACUUCAUGCAUGCUAAGCACACACUCUACCACUGAACCAUACCCUCCCCUACUUUUUCUAGUAUUUCUAUAAUAAGCAUCUAUCAUUUGUAUCAUGAGAAAUUGUCCCUCCUGCCAACCCUCAUGCUUUUCACAGUUCUGUUUCCGGCUAAUGGCAGAUUCAACCAACUCGCAGGAGAGUUGAAAUCGCAGUGGGUUUGUGAUGAACAAUUUAAUCAGCCUCAGAUUCAAAUGCUCUCUCAUGUCCAUAGGCUUUUUUUUUUAACAUUUUUUUUAUUGAGUUAUAGUUACAGGCUUUUUAAGACGCUCUCCUCGGGAUUCAGGACUUGGCCGCCCGCUCUCUCCUUCCCUGCCCUUAGGGCGUCUCUGUGGGAGGGGAAGAUGGUACCCAUGGUAAGCCCUACCUGGCCUCCUCAUGCCCUUGGGGAGAUGGCUGCCAGUUAAGGCUGCAUUUACUCGAUCCUCAUGCAACUUUUUGCAGAAAGUUAUUUCAGCUUGAAUGUUGGGGGCCCCUUUUGGUGGCAUUUCUUACCAAGAACAUAAAGCUUCCGUUUGGAGCCCGUGUGCUCAGGAGGAACGGGGGAUGAAACCUGCUGUCAGUUGUCAGGUCCCCCUUCCAGGGAAGUCUCUUAACCAAGGAGCCUCCACUUCUUCCCAGUGGAGGCUGGGGGGAAAAGUGUCCCCUGAAGCACCGGAACAAACAAAAGUGGGCCAAGAAUGAGACUCCAUGAUGCAGAUGGGAACAAGGUUUCUGGUUAAUCCAUCCCGAGUACUGAGACAGAAUAAAGUGGAGAGGAUAAAAGCAGUGGCCACAUCAGGGAAUCAUUCUGUGGCUUGGUGAGCUGCGGGGUGGGGAGGUUCUCCACUGGGCAUCUCACAAAGCCAGGCUGGGCUGUGGUCCGGGGCCUGCUCAGAUGGCCCGUGGACUCCAGCGGAUCUGAGGUCCUCAAGCCCU